rnacentral:tRNA from 5 species
GGAUUCGUAGCUCAAGGGUAGAGCAGCCGCCUCUUAAGCGGCAGGCGAGGGUUCGAUCCCCUCCGGAUCCA